rnacentral:rRNA from 1 species
UACAGAGGGUGCAAGCGUUAAUCGGAAUUACUGGGCGUAAAGCGUGCGCAGGCGGUUUUGUAAGUCUGUCGUGAAAAUCCCCGGGCUCAACCUGGGAAUUGCGAUGGAGACUGCAAGGCUAGAAUCUGGCAGAGGGGGGUAGAAUUCCACGUGUAGCAGUGAAAUGCGUAGAGAUGUGGAGGAACACCAGUGGCGAAGGCGGUUGCCUGGAGCUUUGCUGACGCUGAUGGCGCGAAAAGCGUGGGGAGCAAACAG